AGUGAACGCUGGCGAUAGGCCUAAUACAUGCAAGUCGAACGGCAACACAGUAAGAGCUUUCUCUUACGGUUAGCGAGUGACGGACGGGUGAGGAAUACAUCGGAAUCUACUUUUUCGUGGGUGAUAACGUGGGGAAACUUACGCUAAUACCGCAUACGACCUACGGGUGAAAGCAGUGGAUCUUCGGACCUUGCGCGAUUGAAUGAGCCGAUGUCGGAUUGGCUAGUUGGCGAGGUAAAGGCCCACCAAGGCGACGAUGCGUAGCUGGUCUGAGAGGAUGAUCAGCCACACUGGAACUGAGACACGGUCCAGACUCCUACGGGAGGCAGCAGUGGGGAAUAUUGGACAAUGGGCGAAAGCCUGAUCCAGCCAUACCGCGUGGGUGAAGAAGGCCUUCGGGUUGUAAAGCCCUUUUGUUGGGAAAGAAAAGCAGCAGGUUAAUACCCCGCUGUUCUGACGGUACCCAAAGAAUAAGCACCGGCUAACUUCGUG
rnacentral:rRNA from 1 species